rnacentral:rRNA from 1 species
UACAGAGGGGGCUAGCGUUGCUCGGAAUCACUGGGCGUAAAGGGCGCGUAGGCGGCCAUUCAAGUCGGAGGUGAAAGCCCAGGGCUCAACCCUGGAAUUGCCUUCGAUACUGUCUGGCUAGAGACCGGAAGAGGUAAGUGGAACUGCGAGUGUAGAGGUGAAAUUCGUAGAUAUUCGCAAGAACACCAGUGGCGAAGGCGGCUUACUGGUCCGGUUCUGACGCUGAGGCGCGAAAGCGUGGGGAGCAAACAGG